rnacentral:rRNA from 1 species
UACAGAGGGGGCAAGCGUUGUUCGGAAUUACUGGGCGUAAAGGGCGCGUAGGCGCCUUCUAAGUCGAACGUGAAAUCCCCGGGCUCAACCCGGGAACUGCGUCCGAUACUGGAAGGCUUGAAUCCGGGAGAGGGAUGUGGAAUUCCAGGUGUAGCGGUGAAAUGCGUAGAUAUCUGGAGGAACACCGGUGGCGAAGGCGACAUCCUGGACCGGUAUUGACGCUGAGGCGCGAAAGCCAGGGGAGCAAACAGG